CGUAACGCGACCAGCAACUGUCAAAAAUUUUCAUUUACACGUGUUGAGUGCAUCACCAGCUUCAACAACAAAAGCUCGCGAACGUUCCGGGACGCGUUCCGAAGUUCCCCCGGCCGCGUUUCCCCGGUUUCCUCGAACCAGAAGUCGUCCACCCAACGAUAAAAGUACCCGAGCCCGCGGGGUUUGUAAGAAUUCCGGCGCCGAAGACCCCCAGUGAUCCAAUCGAAAUUCCAGCGGUUAACGCCGCGAAAAAGCAAUCAGUCAACCAGUUUGAUUUUCUGGGAACCCCGUGCCCGGAACCAUCGUAGAUGACGUGAUCACACUUCUUGAACGCAACGACUUCUACUCGAUUUCCAAGAACGUCCGCCAGGGAACCGUUUUGCCCACCUCAUACAACUGGACGCGGACAAGCUGCAACAGUUCUCGUUGCCCGUGUUGUCGGAAUGGAGCAAGAAUCGGAAACUGAAGGCUGGGGAGCUCAAUUCCGUCUCGCGGGAAGCGGGUUACGCCGGUGAAGAAGACGUCGCUGACGUUUGCCAUUUUCGGCACCAGUAUGAACCGGAUUGGGGUGCAGAAGAUUUGGGGGAGGACCGGAGAAGCAGCAGCUGAGGCGAUGCAAAACGUCAACCGCAACCCGCUGUAAAACGUCUCCCGACGACAAUGACCGCACCGAGGAACCCGCAAACGUGAAACCACUCAUCAUUUCGUCCUCAAUACCGCGUCCGCCCAACAAAGUGAAUCUCCUCUUCGAGUGUGUCAUGCAGCAACGUCCCCUCAAUUCGACGUCCCAGACCGUACCAAGCUGCCCAACGUGACCCUCGGGUUCUCCUCCCUGGGGGCGUCCUCGCCGUGGCGAGUUCAAAACGAAACGAACGUUCUAUUUUCCCGAUCGAAGGACCUGCUGCCAUGGUUUGAGAGAGACGUCGUCAUUCGGGAUCAAAAUGUGCGGCCAAAGUCGCCGGUUGUGGAGCAGCCGGUUUCGCCGGCCAAGCGACAACCUUCAAGUACUAGUUCGACCGGAACGAUACUGCGGUGCCGAAUUCCUAGCAACAUCCUCCACCAGCACCAGUUGUUCCAGAGAUUCUGCACAGCGGGGUUCAGCGUGUGGUUCCCGUUCCUUCCUAACUGGGCUCACGAAUAACCCAAAUCCGGUCAUCAACAGUCAAGUGAAACAAAAAAAAACAAAAACACACUAAAAGAGAAGGGAAAACAUAAAAUCUAAAACCACAAAAGAAAAUAUAAAAAUACACCACUACAAUUAAAAAACACAAACAAUUUAAAAAAAACGCAAAGAACACAUAAAAAAACGAAAACGAAUACGAAAACACAAAAUACUAACAUACAAA